UACAGAGGGUGCAAACGUUGUUCGGAAUCACUGGGCAUAAAGCGUACGUAGGCGGCGUCGUAAGUGUCGGAUGAAAUCCCACGGCUUACCCGUGGAACGGUCCGGCAUACUGCGGUGCUAGAGGAUGGUAGAGGAGAGCGGAACUCUUGGUGGAGCGGUGAAAUGCGUAGAUAUCAAGAGGAACACCGGUGGCGAAGGCGGCUCUCUGGUCCAUGUCUGACGCUGAGGUACGAAAGCUAGGGGAGCAAACGGG
rnacentral:rRNA from 1 species